rfam:Pseudomonas agarici strain NCPPB 2472 genome.
GGGCCUAUAGCUCAGUUGGUUAGAGCAGAGGACUCAUAAUCCUUUGGUCCACGGUUCGAGUCCGUGUGGGCCCA